rnacentral:lncRNA from 10 species
AGUCCAAUUAAACCUUUUUCUUUUGUAAAUUUCCCAGUCUUGGGUAUAUCUUUAUCAGCAGGGUGAAAACACACAAAUACAUGGGGGAAGGGGAAUGGGUAGAAAAUGGUUCAUGGGGAGAAAGUUACGGUUACUUAGAAGGAAUAAGAUCUGGUGUUCUAUUGCACAGUAGGGUGAUUAUAGUUAAUAAGAAUGUAUUGUUUAUUUCAAAACAGCUAGAAUAAAGGAUUUUGAAUGGUCUUACCACAAAGAAAUGAUAAGUGAUUGAGGUGAUAGAUAUUCUAAUUACUCUAAUUUGAUCAUCAUGCAUUAUAUACAUAUAUUGAAACAUUGUACUUUAUAAAUAUGAACAAUUAUUUUGUGUCAAUUAAAAAUAAAAUCUAAACAAAAACAACAGUGGAGCACUGAUUUGAGGAUAAGAUUACCAGAAAGUCGUGGAGGUAAAGUGAGGUCAUCAAGUUUAUGGAGAGGAAUCUGGGGACUCUUUCUAGCACCAUUAACCUCUUAACCAAAUUCUGAAGGAUAAAAUGUGCAUCAGGCAUGUGAGGCAGGAAAGACAUGGCAAGCAGAUGAACAGCCCGGACACACGUAGGGCUUAGAGGAGCAAGUUGACUCAGUUGGCAUACAAGGUGCAGCUGGGAAUGUUAGGAAAAAGUCUAGAGACUGGACUUACAAGAGAUUUUUUUCUACCUUUGGAAUUUAACCAAUAUUUCCUAAAAUCUGCCUGGAGGAGGUGCUUCCCAAAUUAUCUGCAGUAAGUGAAAGAUUUUUCUUCUUAUUACUUUAAAUCUGCCAUGAACUGAUACUUUUGUAAAACACAAUAAAGAUGAAUUACUAGAAAAAUGAAGUGUGAAAAAAAAAAACUUCACAAGCUACUGUUCAUAUUUGUAUUAGUCCAUUUUCGCACUGCUUUAAAGAACUACCCGAGACUGGGUAAUUUAAGAAGAAAAUGGGUUUAAUUGACUCACAGUUUGCAUGGCUGGGGAGGCCUCAGGAAACUUACAAUCAUGGCAGAAGGUGAAGGAGAAGCAAGGCACAUCUUCCCAUGGUGGAGCAGUGGAGAGAGAGCGAGACACAGGGAAUGCUGAACACUUUUAAACAGCCAGAUCUCAUGAGAACUCAGGACACAGCACUAGGGCAAUGGUGCUAAACCAUUAGAGACCACCUCCAUGAUUCAUUCACCUCCCAGCAGGCCCCUCAUUUGACAUGUCAGAAUUACAAUUUGAGGUGAGAUUUGGGUGCAGACACAGAGCCAAACCAUAUGACUAUUCUUGGCAGCAUUGUCAAUUUGUUAUAGCGUUUUCUAAAUAUUGACUCUCCGUUUCUGUAUUUCUCUUAUUGCAGACAAUCAAUAAAUAAUUUGUGAACCUGCACUGGUCCACAAACCACAUCAUGACUAGCAGGGGUCUAAAGGAUACAUCCCAAAAGAUUCCCUGACAACCCAGUGGUCAAAUGUAUGUGUGAAACAUUGGGAAUUUUAUCUGCCCAGACCUCCCCCAGGAGAUGCAUACAUGACAUUCUCUAAAGUUACUGAGAAAUUUUGCAGUAAAAAUGCCCUAAUUUGCAAUGGAAUGGUACUUGGAGGUGGGGACUUUGGAUGGUAAUUAGGUAAUUAAAUGAGGUCAUGAAGUUGGGACUCCCAUAAUGGGAUUAACAUCUUUAUAAGAAGAGGAAGAGAGGCCAGAGCAUUCUCUCUCUCUGCCAUGUUAGAACGUAGCAAAAAGAAGGCUGACUGUAAGUCAGGAAUAGAGCCCAUAAGGGUGAACUGAAUCAGUCCAUAUCAUGAUCUUCCCAACAUCCAGAACUAUGAGAAAUAAAUUCCUGUUGUUUAAGCCAUGCAGUCUAUGGUAUUUCGGUAUGGCAAUCUGAGCUAAGACAAGAGUCAAGUAGGCAGUGGUAAGUGCAAUGGAGACAAGCAAAUGUGGAGCAAGAAGGGGUCCAACAGGGAGAGCUGCAAUUAAAUAAAAUUGCACUGAGAAGAUGACAUUUGGGUAAAAUUUAAAGGUGAGAGAAAAACCAUGAAUAUAUGGGAUGGGUAAGGGAUUGGGGGAAUGAUAAGAUAGAGCAAGCAAUUUUGUGAAUGCCCCAAGGCCGCAGGAUGCUUGGAACUGUGCAAAGAGCUGGAACAGAAUGAAUGGAGGAAAGAGCAAUAGGAAAGAAAAUAAAACACAAGAGAUGGGGGGCGGGGGGCAGAUUUUGCAAGGCCUUGUAGGUUUUUGCAAGAUCGUGGCUUUUACUCUGAGACUGAAAGACAUGAGAAGAUUGGACCAGAGGAGUGAUAUCAUCCAAUUUGCGUUUGCACAGGAUCACUGUGGCCCUUGUGUAGAGAGGAGAUUACAAGGUUGUGACUUUCCAGGGAGACCACCUGGAAAGAUAUUGCAAUAAUUUAAGCUUGAGAUGAACAAGGCUCAGAGCAGCACAGAGGCAAUGGUGAUGGUGAAAGUGGUUGGAUUCUGAAUAUGCUGAAAACUACUAAGGUAGUCCUGACAGAACUGGCUCAUAGAUCAGAUGUGAAGCAUGAGAAAAGAAAAGACAAUCAUGAUACUAACAUUUUUGACCUCACUAAUUAUAAGACUUCACCUGUCCUGAAAUGGGGGGAGAGUAAAGAAGGAGCAUAUUUGGGAGUAAGAAAUAUCGGGAGCUCUGUUUUGAACCUGACAAGUUUGAGAUACCCAACAGAGUUGCCAAGCAGGCAAUUGGAUGUAUGAGUCUGGAGGGCAGGAGAGAGGUCCUAAGAGGAGCUAUACUUUUGGGAGCUGUCAGUGUUAAUCAUAAAGCCAUGAGACUGGGUAAAACCAGUGAGAGUGUGAGUGCAGACAAACUGGAAAGUCUAAAUGUAGUCCCUGGGGUACUGCUUCAUUAAGAGCUUAUAGGGUUGAGGAGGAAGAGCAAGGGAGACAGGAAGAAAAACAAGGGAAGAAAUAGGAAAACUAAUACAGUUUAAUGUCAUGGAAACCAAAUUCAGAACGUGUUUCCAGGAGGGAUCCUUCAACCUUAUCAAAUGCUGCCACUGGUUAGGUAAGAUCUGGACUGAGAAGUUGUUGAUGACUUUAAAGAGAGCCAUUUUUAUGAGUACAAAGGUGAAAGCCAGAUUGAAUCAUGUUCAAAAGUAAUUUGGAGUAAAGGAAUUGAAGAGAGUGGCCAUAGAAACUCUUUUGAGAAGUUUGAAACAGUAGCUGGAGGGAAAAUGAGAAAAGUGAGGUUUUGAUGAUGAUAAUGAUGAUGAUGGUUAAAAGAUAAUGCUGUUUUUAUAUAUUGAUUAAAAACAGUGAUAACGUAGGGGAAAUAAGAGGAGAGCUGGAGCUUAGAGCAGGUGAAAGGGGAUGUAGUCUUGUGCACAGGUGAAGAAUGGGUCUUUCCCAGAAAAGGGUUCAGUUAGUCCAUAUUAAGAGAAACAAGAGGGGUGUAUGAGUUUAGAUACAGGUACAUGAAAAUCUCUAGUGGUAGAAGCUAGAGGAAGUUCUCUUCUGAUUGCUUCUAUUUUCACAGCAAGUUUUAAGCUGAGAAUGAGGAUGGGACAGGUGUAAGAAAUUGGAGGUGAGAAACAACAAGAAUCAGUUGGCUGUGAGAAUAGGGGAAUGAAAAGUCUAAAGUAAAGUAGUCAGAUAGCCAGGCAGCAUUGAGGGCUUUUUUAGGUUAGCGAUCAGGAAGUUAAUGUGAGACCUGUCAUCAUGGCUGUGUGAUUUAAGCACACUACUACUUUUCCUACUAUACCUCUUGCCAACCAUCCAAAACUCUUUGUGAAGUGCUCACUGAUUUCAGUCAUAGGUGGGAGCUAUUCGGUGGGACAUUGACAUGGUUCAGUUUACAUCAUAAAAGACACAUGCACACGUAUGUUUAUUGCAGCAUUAUUCACAAUAGCAAAGACUUGGAACCAACCCAAAUGUCCAACAAUGAUAGACUGGAUUAAGAAAAUGUGGCACAUAUACACCAUGGAAUACUAUGCAGCCAUAAAAUAUGAUGAGUUCCUGUCCUUUGUAGGGACAUGGAUGAAAUUGGAAAUCAUCAUUCUCAGUAAACUAUCGCAAGAACAAACAACCAAACACCGCAUAUUCUCACUCAUAGGUGGGAAUUGAACAAUGAGAUCACAUGGACACAGGAAGGGGAAUAUCACACUCUGGGGACUGUGGUAGGGUGGGGGGAGGGGGGAGGGAUAGCAUUGGGAGAUAUACCUAAUGCUAGAUGACGAGUUAGUGGGUGCAGCGCACCAGCAUGGCACAUGUAUACAUAUGUAACUAACCUGCGCAAUGAGCACGUGUACCCUAAAACUUAAAGUAUAAAAAAAAAAGUGUUACCAUGUCAUCAGUAUAAAAGAUGGAUUCACAGGGAAUAAGAUGGAGGGCAGGAACGUAGCUAACAGGAUGCUGAGACAGUCAGGCAAAAACUGAUGGUCAUGAUUAGAGAUUAUUUUUGUAUGUGUGUAUGUCUAUAUGUGGUUCAGAGAAUGUCAUGUUAGAGAAGGUAUUCUUUUUUACCAUAGAGCAAUGAUGGACUACAUUCCCAGCAGUCCUAUAUAUCACAUGGUUGGCAUUUGCUUUUUGAUAGUGACCCUGUUCUGGGACUGCCAUACGCCAGCUCUGCAUACCCUCACUUCUUCCAUCUGUCCAUACUCUCUAGAAGAGAUAGAUCUGCGGGAAAGAGGGAUUCUGUCCAGGGAGUGUGAUUUUUAUUUGCAUGAAUGAACUCAUAUUGCAUUGCUUACACCUCUACUCUUUUCUAGUCCCACCACUCCCCAAUACCAGAAGAGCUAUGUUAUUAAGAGGAAGACAUUUCUGAUUGUUUUAUGGAUGGAGAAGCUCAGAAGAUGAGGAAUUGAGAGAGUGAAUGAUGUUGAAGGAUUCUCUGAAAAUAUUGCCCACUGAGAAUUAGGAGCUAGAGAUUUGAUUUUCCACCUCAUUUUGGAAAAAUUGUGAAAAACAGAGCUGGCACGCUAAAAGGCAUUAAACCUGGCAGGAAGGUAAAGAGAAAGGGCCAGCAAGCCGCCAACAAGGAAUUAAAAGAGAUCAUGGAAUACAGCCCAGAGCUCUGCUAGGCUGUUAGGGGCGGUCCCGGAGAAGAAGCAGCAGAUGACAAAUGAUCAUAAGCUGAGACCUGAUUUAUUUGGUGGGAAAUGAAGAUGGUAGCAAAGGAAGAAAUCUAGACUCCACUAAAUGAAAGAUUUCCUCAAUGAAGCAGACAGUAAAAUGGAAGGAGAGUGAAAAAGGAAAAGUCAGAUACAAUGGAUAUGUUUUUUUUCCACAACUGAAGAGGAUAUGUGCAAAGGCCACCAAAGAUUUUCAGAUUCAGAAUUUGCCUCAUUUAAAAUGUUCCAUCAGAGAAGAUGUGAAAACAGCUCAAGAUAGCCUGGAGCCCAGGGUGACCCGGCGGUGAAAUACGAAGUGAAAGAUCCCUUGGAGUUCUUGACACAUCUUGAGAUCUUUGGGAAUCUGCAAAUUCAUGCAGAGCACCCUAAUCUAUAAUUCAUUCUGUAAAAAAUUAGUUAUAAUUUUGUAAUGGAAUAACUUAUUUGGCUAUGUGAGAACAGUGGGGACCACCCAGCAAUAGUCAAGAAGAGCAAAUCUACAUGGAGCUGUAAAGGCUGGAUCAGGCUAGCUGACCCCACAAAUACGCGACUUACUGGGCAAACCAAUUUUUCUUAGAUGUUGAUUCAAACAUUUCCUUAAGACAUGCAUUUUAAAAUGUUUACAUAUUUAUUGUAAUUCAUCUUAUAAAUUAUGAAAUAAGUUCACUACGUCUUGGACUUUAUGGAUAUAAUUACUAGGGCCAGACAUAAAAAAUAAGUUGAUUUAAAGAAAUAUAAAUUAAGAAAAUAUAUAGGUGGGUAGUACAUUGAUAUGAUAAAAAUUGGACCAAAGUGAAAGAUGUAACUGUAUUCCUAAUUAUGAGUAACAGCCAAGCAAGGAAGAGUUGCCUCAAUAUAGUGAGACAAUGUGCCAUCAUUCAAACGUGCUUAGACUGGUAGGAUAUGUACGCAAAUCUUGAUCCGACUUCAAAGAUGCAAUUUGGUGAACUGGAAAGGGCAAGGAAUUUCAGGGCAGAUGGCUUGCUCUGCCCUUAUUUUUGCUGUAUGGAUUUGGGGAAAUUACUUAAUGUCCCUGUAACUGGCAGAGUUUCUUUGAAGGUAAUACCAUAUCAAGUGCUCAGCAAAUGCUUUGCCCAGAGAAGACAUAGAAGAAAUUCUUCAGCCAUUAUUGCAGAUAUAAAAAUGGGGUGGGUUUUCUUCUCUUCGUAUUAAGCAACAGAUAAUGAGGCAUUAAAAAGUUUGAUGGAGAAAUACGAUGGAAGGAGGACUAGAUAUAGAAUUAAAAUAUUUGAGUUUAAUCUGCAGUGUCAAAGAUUUCCACUUACUAAAUGUUCAACUUAGCCAAUUCUCUCUGAGCCUAAUACGGAAAAUCCUAACUGUUAAGCAUACACAAUUGUAUCUAAGUCCAUAUAUAUAUAUAUAUAUAUAUAUAUAUAUAUAUAUAUAUAUAUAUAUGAAUAUCUGUAAGACUAUCACAUUAAUAUGACUAUACAUAUAUAGGGAGAGGAACAGAGAGGAUGAGAAAGAAAGGGAGGGAGAGAGGAAAAAGAAAAAAAAGGGUGUUGUAGAUAGAAACUUGGUUGAGGGCUAGAAAAUCUUGGUUCAAUUCCUAGCCUUCAUAACUGAAAAAAAAAAAAACCUUCAGUUUCUUUAUCUGUAAAAUGAGUGCAAUAGAACCUACAUCACUGGAUUUAUCUGAUAAAACUACAUAUCUAUCUAUUUAUCUAUCUGUCAUCUAUAUAUCUGUUGUAUAAAUCAAGUGCUCAAUGAAUGUCAGUCACGUUUUAGUUGUUUUCUAUCACAACCAAGCCCUCUGCUGUGACCUAGUGAAGCAUGGUUGAUUUUAGUAGCUCAUAGAUCCCUGGGUGCAUUCAGGAAAGCAAAGCAAAGGAAAGGUGAGUUUAUAAAGUAAUUGGAGACACUUUCUGAAAGACUGUAAUAGAUGCCCUUUAGGGUCCUUGCCUGGAUCCUGUCUUCUCUACGAAUUGGUCCCUAUUUCACAGUGUUGGGCCCUGGACAGCUUGAGGAAAAGGGAGGACAGCACAAUUUGUUAUUUGCCUACUUCUGAUUGGGCCAGGUGUAGAUAUCUGACCCAAGCUAAUCCAGCAAAAUUCUCUUUGUCAGGAAUCUGGAAUUUGGAAAAGGACAGAAUAAGAGCAAUGUAAUCUGACUCAUAUUAAGAGAUCCAUAGAAAGCCUACUGCCAGGUUGGCACUAGUGGGACCAGCUGGCCUUGUUUGCCUGGGACUGAGGGAUUCUCCAGAACUUGGUACUCUCAGUGCUGAUACUAGGAUGGUCCUGAGUAAACUAAAGCAGUUGGUCACCCUAUGAGCUAACCUGGUCACUGCCCUACUCGAGGAUUGUCCAAAUAUUUCUUGGAUUCCUACCCCUGUAUCUUUCCAAUAAGUUGCAUUUUAAAGCUUAAACUAUUCAGAAUUUAACCAAAAGAAUUUUUUUAGUGGUGCUAUAUCCAGAAUGCUGAGAAAACAUGGAAAAUAAGAGAGCAUCAAUAUAAAACAGAAACUGUUUGCUAAAGCUGUCAACCUUGAAUAAAAUUCUUUAUUGCCUCUAAUAUUUGUGCUAGAAAACUACUGCUUAGUUGCACUGGCAAAAUGGAUGCCUUUUCUAAUGCUUCUUAAUAUUGGGUGAGUUAUGUUGGUAAAUUGAGAAGGAUUAUCUACUUACCCUAUUUGGAAAAUUAACUCAUUACCUUUGUUACAGAAAAGGAUGAGGGUUUCUUAGCAUAUCAGAAGCAUUUUACCCUGGAGUCAAGAUGAUGAAUCAGGAAUUCGAUCAGACUGUGUCUCCAGUGAAUUGCACUGUCAAAUAAUGUUAGAACCAACUGAAGCCUCUCUCACGGCCUUCUCAAGCUUUUACAUGCCUUAGAAUCUCUUAGAGAGUGAGUUAAACAUUUAUUCCCCUGGGUUUCCUCCCCAGAGUUUCUGAUUUACUAGGUCUGGAAUAGGGUCCACUAAAUCUGUAGUCAAUAAAGUUCCCUGGUUCCUUGCUAUUUAAAGCACCUCGUUCAGCAGCGUUGGCACUGUUGGGAGAUUGUGAGAAAAGUAAAAUCUCGGGACACGUCUUCAAUUGUUGAAUUAAAAUGGGAUUUUUAGCUUAAUGAUAGAGGUGCCUUACCCUGUGAGAUUCUGAGGCAAUGGUCUGAGGACCAUAUUGACAAAGUGUAUUCUAGCUGGGCCAACUGUAACAACAACAGUAGUUAAUGUUUUUGAGUGUUCAUUAGGCUCCAUGCAUUAUCCCAAUGCUUUCACAUGACUUGACUCAGUUGAUGCUCCCAACAAGCCUCAGAGGUCAUUGUUUCAAGAUGAAGAAAUGGAUGAAACUUCACACGUUCACCAGCUGGUGAGUGACAGGACAGUGCUUUAAAGGCAGGCAGUCUGACUUUAGAGCUUAGGUGCUCAGCCAUCACGCAGCACUGCUUCCCUGGCAAAGAGAAAAUGUGCUAGCUGAAAGGAGAUGGGCAUUGCGUUCAUCUGGCAAUUUAAGAAGACAUAACUUGCCACCAGAAAAUCAAACACUAUAAGGCAGCAUUUAUUGUGUUGCUGAUCAUGAAUGCCAGAUCUGCUUUCUGGGGAUUCUUUGGGGUCUCAGUGCCCUCACAUGUGUCAUGUGGAUAAUCAUAGCUCACUUCUAGCUCUGUGAUGAGGCUUGAGUGAGCUCCCUGAGGCAAAGGGCCAAGGGUGAGACUGGCAUGAAGAAGGGCUCCAGGAAGUUUCACAUCCUGGAAAGAGUGAGGGUGUUGGAUUUUAAUAAGCCUAGAUGGGGCUUUCAGUUCUGCUGAUCAUUUAGUUCUCUGCAGAGACAUCGCCAAAUUGUGCCUCAGUUUCCUCACCUGUAAUAUGAGGUAAAUAAAACCCAUAUUUUAAGAUUGCUGGAGGAAUUCAAUGAGAUUAUGUUCACUAGGUACAAGACCUUCUACCUCUUUCAUAUAAAGGGUUCAAUAUAUUGUUACUACUUAUGUUUUCCUGUCAUAAUCAUUCUUUUCUGGAAUUUUAAGUCAUUAUCCUCUUCCAGAUAAUUAAGUGUCAACAUUGGGAGGGAUCUUAGAUGCUUUAAAUCUCACCCCCACAUACCUCCCCCUCAAACCUGCACACUCUAUCAGACAGCUGACUCACACAUUCCUGUGAAACAAAUCUUCACUUGCAAAACAAGGGGACCUUUUCUUUGAGCCUGUAGUUCUAAAAUGACUGGCCAUAAGGAAUUAGAAAAUAAUGUAAUAAUGGCUAAAAGGUGCCUAAACUAUGGGUUGCCACAAGACUCUCAUCUACUAAAAACAUUCCUCUUCUUGAAUAAGUAUAUAUGCAGAAUGAAACAGGUUUAUUACUAUUAAUUAAAAUAAGAACAAAAGAAUGCAUUCCCUUUAUUAAGGCAUACAGCCUUUACCCUGAAAACUUGCAUGGUAUUAAGUAUUAUGAAGGACUUUUUCAAAAAGGACUUCUUUUUUUCUGUUUUUUUUCCUUCUCUUUUUUUUUUUUCAGAGAUAGCAGACAAUGUGGCUUUCUUCCCAUGCUCUGACUUCUUUGAAGAAACACUUUAACAUGCAGGACAAAUAAUAGUAUAAUAGUACUACUAAUAAUGGUGAUGAUAAUUUUAGCCAUGGGUGUCAUGGUAGUAGUUACAAUAGUGGUAACUGAUAUUUACCAUGUGCUUAUUUUGUGCUAAGGGCUGUUUUAAGUGCUUUACUUCUUCAGUUAUUUGUCAAAACUGCCCUAUGAGGGAGGUGUUAUUAUCUCCAUUCAGGUUAAGUCAUCUGAAGCCAUGUAGUUGGUAAACAUAGCCAGGACAGGAACCAAAGCAGUGUGAUGACA